CCUACGGGAGACAGCAGUGAGGAAUAUUGGUCAAUGGGCGAGAGCCUGAACCAGCCAAGUCGCGUGAAGGAUGAAGGAUCUAUGGUUUGUAAACUUCUUUUAUAUGGGAAUCAAGUGAGGAACGUGUUCCUUCUUGUAUGUACCAUAUGAAUCCGCAUCGUCGAACUACGUGCCAGCAGCCGCGGUAAUACGGAGGAUGCGAGCGUUAUCCGGAUUUAUUGGGUUUAACGGGUGCGUAGGUGGUUAAUUAAGUCAGCGGUGAAAGUUUGUGGCUCAACCGUAAAAGUGCCGUUGAAACUGGUUGACUUGAGUAUAUUAGAGGUAGGCGGAAUGCGAGGUGUAGCGGUGAAAUGCAGAGAUAUCACGCAGAACUCCGAUUGCGAAGGCAGCUUACUAAACUAUAACUGACACUGAAGCACGAAAGCGUGGGGAUCAAACAGGAUUAGAUACCCGUGUAGUC
rnacentral:rRNA from 1 species